ensembl:lncRNA
GGAGGGAGGGGAUGGCCCCGCACCUCCCUUUCCAGCCUUUAUGCCCCCGCAGUUUCCCAGAGCGCUGAGGAGACUCAAAUCCACACAGAGAGGCGGCUCUCGCAGGGUUUGUCCCGGCCAUGUCCCCUUGUCCCCUCAGCCAGGAGGCAGAAGUCACCUCGGGCCAUCCCCUUCAUCUUCCUCCAGCCACAGCAGCUCCCGGCCCUCGUGUCUCUGCUCGGCGUGAGUGUGACUGGCGGCAGCUCCGGGGAAGGGGACGGCUGAUGUAACCCAGAUUAGGACGUCACUCGGUUAUUAAUGAUAAUUAUGAUUAUUGGCAAGCGAGCUAUCUCCUUGCCAAAGCCCAUCCUGGAGCUGUGGGGAUGCUGUCAGCAGGGUGGGCACUGGCAGGUGCCCUUUGGCUGCCUCUUUCCAGCCUCAGUUGUCCGCACUGAAAUACUGAAAUGCACCUGAAAUACUGAAAUACUGAAAUGGAGACCCAACUUAGAGGUGGAUGCUCGAGCAAUUAUUGUACCUUGCAGAAAUAUCCUUACAAGGCUCUGUUUCCACCAGGGGAGAGCGUUCCCCUGCUGCAGUCGCUGCUCAGCAGGCACGGAGUGCUCCAGGCAGCCUGUAGUGGGAACCAUCCCCUUCCCUUCCCUGCCCUGCCCAGCACAAGUGGCAGCGCUCGCCCUGACUGUCCAGAAAGAAAUAUUCUGAGCUUUACUAGUCCCUCUGUCUCCAGCAACCCAUGGCAAGGACAAAAGCAAUAGGCAGUGCAAGGGGGAGGGAAACUCUGCUGUAAUUAUUGCAAAGGGGAGCUGCUUCCCGGCCCGCUGGGUUUGUUAAGGUCGGGAGGAGUUUGGGGGUGCUGGGUCCGAGUGUUGGGAGGGCUGGAACACAGCUCCAGCUGCAUUUCUGCCCAAAAAGCCCUGGCCACCCUGCAGGGCAGUCAGGGAUGGGCUCCAGCUGCCAGCUCUGAGCAGGAGAAGCUGUGGAAGCCCAGGCUGGCAGGGGAGCAGGGAGAUCCCAGCGGGGUGUGCUGCUCCCUGAUGGGAUCAUUGAUCCCUGAUGGGAUCAUUGAUCCCUGCUGGGAUCUCCUGCCUGGCAGAGCUGCCAGCCCGCUGCUCCAGGGAGAGAUGCUCCAGGAGCUCAGAAGGAACAUCCCAUGGCUCUCCCUGCCAUGUUCCUCAGUGGAAAUCCUGGAAUUUAGGGAAGGCCAGAGCUGUGCAGAGCACAGAGCUGAGCUCUCCUGCUCUCCUGCCCUUGGCAGAAACACUGCCAGCUGCACAGGCUGCAAGAGGCUCAUGCCAUUAGACUGGGCUCAAAGCUCAGCUUAACCUCCUUCCCUGCCCUGAUAUCUCCUCUCCUUGUCCCCAUGAGAUUCCUAUAUUGCACAGCGUCUUCAUAUUCAAUAUUGAGGUUCCCCUCUUCCUUUUAUUUGGAGAGAGCCUUUCAAAUAUUCUUGGGAUUCUAUAUUAGAAGUUAUUUAAGAAGAAGAAGACAUGUUAGUGUUUUUGAAAAUGUUGAUAGAGGACAGUCAGAAUUGAGAGUCUUUGUGCAGCAGUUAGUGAAGCAGUUGAUGAGGCUUCACUUUUCUUAUUCCCUCUCUGUUCCUUAAUUAAUUUAGCAAACACAGACAGAGAAACAGAAUCAUCAGCUGGAAUUUACCUCUAGCCCUUCUCUGGAGGGCACUAUUUCUGUUAAAUCUCUGUCACACUGUCCCAGGGGUGUUUUAGGGACCACAACCUCCCAUGCUGUUGUAUCAACAGCUCAGCCUCCCUAUGAGGGCUCUGAAAUCGGAUGCAGGGGGUUGUCCUGUCCCCCUCCAGCCACUGCAGAGCUUUCCUGGCUGCUGGAGGGUCCUGUUUGCACUGGCAGAGCUCAGCCCAAGGCUCAGCUGCUGCUCAGGUCCCUUCAUCCCAUUCUGGCUGCUCUGCUGGAGGCUGGAUCCUGUUUUCCAUACACUGCUGGCAUUUGCCACGCCAUAUAUUCAGUACAGGCAGGGAUUAUUUGAGCUGCAUAAGCAUUGCUGAGUGCACAUGAAAUGGAGGAAGUGUAAGAAUUUUAAACUAGGCUUUUCCAGCUGGAAUCCUUCAGGCUGGAGUAGCUUAAGUCGAACUGAUGCUCCUAGCCACAAUUUUUUCUUAGCCCACUCAUUAUCAGUUAUUUAUUAGGGCAUAACUGUUGAUUUUUUUUUUUUUUUUUUGCAGGACAGUUGUGCUAUUUUCUGAUGAAGCUAAGAAAUAAUAAUGCACCAUAUGACAUUAACAUGAAUUAUUUCUAAUAUAAAAGUGCUACUUGAAACUCAGUGGGACACUGGAGCAGCACAGAAAGCCCAGCCAUGGCCUCAGUAACAAGUUAUUUGUGACUGAUUUAUACUCGUGGGAUUUUCUUUUUUUUCAGCAGAGAAAUUUUGCCCAGCAUUUGAUGAUAUGUGUAAAUAUUAAAAGGAGAGGGAAGAACUAAUAGACAGCAUUAAAACAGAACAGCAAAUACCAGCAAAUUGUGGGUGCCAUAUUUUUAAUGGAUAGCUAUUAAAAAUAAAAGAGCAAAGUAGGCAAAAUAAAAGGGAGGUUUUAUUGGACAAAAUUGACAGUUGUUAUCCUCACUGAUUCCUGACGUUACAAGAUCAGUUUUUUAUCUAAUGUUUCAACAGCCUUGGGUAUUUCCUUCUAGUGAACCACACUCAGCUGUAGCUUUUUUCCUCCCUUUAAGCCCAAUUUUCUUUUUUUCUAAAUGUGUUGAUAUUUAUUAUAGCCAGUAUAAAAAAAAAACCAAAAAACAAAAAAACAAAACCAAAACAACUCCAUACUCCACUUAUAUAUGAGCUACAUGAGCUUCUCCUCAACCUUUCCUGGGAUGAUCAGAGCCCUGGGUGGGAAUGCACAGAUUCCUCUGGCAGCAGCUGGAAUUUCGUGCAGGGAUCCAAGGCAAAAUAAUGCCCCCAGGGUGAUGUGUUCCCACCCAAGCUGAGAGUUCUGAGCCACCCUCCAGCCCUGAGAGGGCUCCUCCAGCCCUUCCCCCCCUCCUGCAGCCACAUCCCAGAAUCGUGGAACCUCUUAACUUGGAAAGGAUCCCUGAGAUCAUCCAGCCCAACCAUUAACCCAGCACCAAACCACGUCCCUAAUGGAUAUCCAGGUGUUUUCAAAUCAGCUCCAGGAAUGGUGAUCCCACCACUCCUCUGAGCAGCCUCUUCCAGCGCUUGACAACCCUUUUGGUGAAGAAUUUUUCCGUAAUACCCAAUGUAAACCUCUCCUGGCACAAAGAAAAGCUGUUUUUUCCUAUUUAUCAGCUGGUAUGUGAGAGAAGAGUCUGACCUCCACCUGUCCACAACCUCUUUUCCUCCAUCACCACAACGUGCUGCAGCCUUUUCAACCCUUUUUAUUCAGUAGAGAGGCCUCUUGUCACCUGGCAGCCGAAGUGGAGGUUUUAAUGUCCUAAAGGAGGCUGAACAUGGACCACAGAGAGGAAGAGCAUGGACUUGGAACUCUGUUUUCUGAAUCUCUCCAUCCAUUGCCCACAGACCCUGGUGGCAGGACACACCUUCAGAUGGCAAUUUCACUGUUCCCAUUAGAAAAAUCCUAGAUAAUGCAGAAAACCUGCUUGAAUUCUUGUUGUGGAAUAAUGGUUAGGGUUUAUUUUGACACCUCCACACUCUGCAUGUGGACAUUUUCUAUUGCAUUUUCUUCCUUGGCUUCCUUUCCUUUUCACCUUGUGGGCUAAUCUUCCAUACAUCCCAAUUCCUGGAUUUUGCCUGGGUACACAGAAAUGGAGAUUAACCUCCAGUAUGUGCUGUAAGCAACAGCCUGGAUUUUCAGGGCAUCUGGAUUUAGAGUUGCCAGAAUUAGAAACAUGAGCCAGACGAGAUCAUGCUAGGGCAAUUCCCCAGCACUGGGCCAUAAAGCCAAUCAAUUCAAAAUGUAAUAGAAAGCACCAAAUUCUGGGUGAAGGAAGGCACUUGCUGCUCAUUUGGAAAGAAAAGCUCAUAUUCUAAAUUGCUUUUCAGAUCAGACUCGAGCCUACUUUUAGUGAUUUCAGUGAUGCCACUUCCCUUCAGUCCAGCGGCGCCAGAAUUUUCUGUUUACUGCUGUUCCUUCUCCAUUUCCCCCUCUCCUCCUUUUCCAAAGAUCCCUGGCAUGGUUCAGAGGAGGCUCCAGGAUGAUCCCAGGGAUGGAGCAGCUCUGCUGGGAGGAAAGGCUGGGAGAGAUGGGGUUGUCCAGCCUGGAGAGGAGAAGCUUUGGGGUGACCUCACUGUGGCCUGGAGGAGCUGGAGGAAGGAUGGAGAGAGACUUUGGAGAAGGGAUGGAUGGACAGGACACAGGGAAUGGCUUCAGGAGAGCGGGGUUAGAUGGGAUUUGGGAAGGAAUUCCUGGCUGUGAGGGUGGUGAGGCUCUAGCACAGUUUCCCAGAGCAGCUGUGGCUGCCCCUGGAUCCCUGGCAGUGCCCAAGGCCAGGUUGGACAGUGGGGCUUGGAGCAGCCUGAGACACUGAAGGUGUGCCUGCCCAUGGCAAGGGUGGCACUGGAUGGGCUUUAAGGUCCCUUCCAACUCAAACCAUUCUGUGAUUCCAGGAUUUUUCCUCUUCGAGGACAGUUAGGACAUGGAGACAGAACUGAUUGAUAAGAGUUAGUGAGAUGAAGUCAUUUUAAUCUCAUGGAAAAAGGAGUUCACCAGCCACGGAGAGGAUAAUGGCAAUGAUUGUCUGCUCUGCUCUUGCAACUCUUGCCCCAAUUUUGUUUUGCUCCCAAGGACAGAAGGUGACCUUUCAUCCAAAAUGGGCUCACUGGGAAGUUCAAGAUGAGCUGACUCACUCCCAUUUCACUUAUCCCUAAAGGAAGUUGUGGAUUAAUGCACCUCUAAAAAUGGCCAAAGAGGUUUGGGGCCUGAACUUGUGGCUCUCUCCUAACACCAAACACUGCAGUUCUUGGGUUUCCAGUGUGUGGUGCAUUAACUCAUUAGCAGGCACUUAGGAUGUAAUUUUUCUUACGUUAAAAUUAUGAAAUGGUGAGAGCCAAAAUGAGCUGAGUGUCCUCCUCAGCCUCCAGCUCCAAGUGACCUCUGGAAGAGAACUGCUCUCCCUCUUUCCCACCAAUUUCCAGGAGUCCUUCUGGAAAUUUGCAUCAGAAAUCAAAUAUCAUGGCUACUUUACAUGCAGGAGUUCCCUGAUUCCUUCUCUGAUAUAAUUUUGUUGAAGAGGGAAAUUUCUGGUUUUCUUUUUCAAAUUCCAAGGUUUUUAGCAAUUUUACAAAAGACCAAAUUUCUUUCACCAGGAACUUUGGGAACUGCCAUUUUUGGUCACUUCAUCCAAGGAGUCAUUACAUGUGGAUGUGCAAAGAGAACCAGAGGUCUAGGAAGCCAGACUCACCCAGGAAAGAGUAGAUUAGGAUCAUUCUGAAUGGAAGAGUGGAAGGAAAAUGACAAUAUUUUUGCAUUAUAAAAGGUUAUGUUGAAAAAUAAAGGGAACACUUUGCUCUCGACAAAUAACAUCAGAGAGAGAACAAGAAAUUGCUCUUAAUUUGGAACUUAGAUUGAUACCAAAUAUGUUUGAUGGAGAGGAUGGCAGAGACUGGCUAAGGAGGUCACAACCCCACAAUCCUGUGGCUGUUCAUGUUGAGGGACAAAUUGUUUGUGAUCAUAUACUACGCUCCUUAAAAUAAAUAUAUUGUCAAUAAACAGGGGAGGAAAAUCCAUUAAAAAGGAGAUUUGGAACCAGAUUCCAAUAGCAACAAUGACAUAAAAAAUGUAACCUGAAAGGAUUGAAGCUUUCUAGAUCAACGUGGCUAAGUAAUGUUCAGGGCAUUUCAUAUCCUGGCCCUGAAUUCAUGGAAUUGGCUAAAAUCAUCUUCUUGGAAGUAUAUACGUGGAUAUAUGGAUACACAAACACCCACAUGUCUGCUCACCUGCAUUCUUGGAUUGUUUGUGCACAUCUGCAAGUUUUCAAGGCUCCUGUGUUUAGGGUUUUUAUUUUCCAUUCAUUUUCUCUCUUUCUGCACAGUCCAUCUCUGCCUGUCUGGCUGGAUAGCUGGGAAAUACCAGCUCCUUGGGAAGUCACCUUUCAGAACUUUGGGGAAAAAAAUCUCAGAUAGUCAGAUUUACAACAAGCUCUGAGCACCGGGAUUCCUGAAUAGAGAUAAAAUCUUAGGCAUGAGGGUCAUGUUGGAAUGUAAAAUCCCUAACAAUUUCCUCCCUUUUUUCACAGCAUCAAAUGUUUGCAGUUCCAGGGAGUGUGAGCGAGGCUCCCUUUUAGCUGUUGAUUUAACUGGGCUUAAAAUCCAAUGAAUAAAUUGUCCAUAGUUGAUCAGCUUGUGGGGUGCUCAGUGCCCACACACCAAAUAAUAAACUCCACAUCCUCCUGUGAACAGUUUACAGCCAGAAGACUGCGGGAACACUGCGGUGGAACUGUCAAAAUAAAAAAACAUGUAAUGGGCUCAUAAACGAAAUGGACGGAUAUUGGUUUACAAUCAGGCCCAUAAAUACGUGUCACACCUGUCCUCUGGGUGGUCAGCAGCAAUCAGGUUGCCAAAUUCUGAGCAUAUUUUUGAGCUGGUGCUGUCUGAUUUGCCCUUUCCUCCUUGCUGAGCGAUACCAAGGGGUGAAGUUGGUGGCUGAAGUGAAAUAGUGCCACUGCAGGCCAGAUGAUGUGAAUGCUUCAAGCUAAAUAUCCAACAAAACCAGGAUAAUUCAAGGCUAAUUGUGUUUUUUUGUGUUAACCAUUUUAGGGAAAAAAAAAUAUCAAUGAAAAUAGGUUUACAGCAGCAGUUUUUACCUCCCAGCAAGCUUCUGCACUUUCCCACUGAGGUUACUCUGAAGGUGUAAGGACUACAUAAGGACUACUACUACUACUACUACUAUACUACUACUACUAAUAAUAAUAAAUAAUUUACACUGUGGGAGUGCCAAGGAUUCCCUCUAUGCAGAGUACUGGAAAAACAAAAACAAAACCACAAAAGCUUCCAGCCAGUGACCAGAGUGUGUAAAUCUAUCUGUGAUGGUUCCUCUUCAUACCUACAACUCCAAAUCAGGGCCUAAUAAAUUCAGCUCAGUUCUUAGUAUAGCUCUCCCAAAGGUUACUAAUUUUAACAGGCUGUUUUCAUUAUUCUUCUGAAGAAACCAUAGAGGCAGAUCCAAUAUUUGAUGCUUGAUAUAUGCCCCAAAAAAAUCCCCUAACUGAUUUUAGGGUUAUACCUCAGCUGCUAAACCAUCUCCUUGCUUCAGCAACUUCUUCAGGACUUUAGGUGGGAUUUAGUGCAAAAUCUUCUUUCUUGCUUAUUUAAUAUUUAAAAAUAGCAUUGUUUGGUUAUGAAAUUGUGCUGUUUAAAAUACAAUCUUUUAUUUUGCCAUUUAAGCAGUAUUUUUUGGAGGGAGAAUCCAUUCUUGAUGAAGCCAUUUGGGGCCAGCCUUACCUAAAGGCCACUGAAGAAUCCCUCAAACCUGAACAAAUUUCCAGCUUAAAUACACAAGGGAGAUGUGGAACUCUGGAACUCUCUGCCAGGGCUCCAGUUCCACCUCUCCUUGCUCUUCUGCACCCUGAAAAUCCCAUAGAAGUUAAAGUUUUCAGGUUUCCAGAGGGACACCAGGAUGGCCCAGGCAGAGACUGAUUCCUUAAUUUAAAAUAUAUUACUAAACCACAUUGAACUGGAUAAAAAAAAAAAAAAAAAAAAAAAAAAAA